rnacentral:rRNA from 1 species
UACAGAGGUCCCAAGCGUUGUUCGGAUUCAUUGGGUUUAAAGGGUGCGUAGGCGGCUUAUUAAGUCAGGGGUGAAAGACGGUGGCUCAACCAUCGCAGUGCCUUUGAUACUGAUGAGCUUGAAUACACUUGAGGUAGGCGGAAUGUGACAAGUAGCGGUGAAAUGCAUAGAUAUGUCACAGAACACCAAUUGCGAAGGCAGCUUACUAAGGUGCAAUUGACGCUGAGGCACGAAAGCGUGGGGAUCAAACAGG